ensembl:snRNA U2 U2 spliceosomal RNA
AUAAAAUUUAUCUGUUCUUAAAAAAAAAAAUGUUUUUAUAAGUUUAAUAUCUGAUAUGUCUCCCAGCCAAAGUCCAUAUAUUAAAUUGCUUUUUGAAACAGGGAGAUGGAGUAGGGGCUUUCUCCGUCCACUCCACGCAUCGACCUAGUAUUGCAUUGCUUCUGGGAACGAUGCACUCCAC